GAAAUCAAUGGGAAACAAGCCCCUGGGAGUGUCCCGCCCUGGGCUGAGAGCCACGGACCAAUGGAAAAUGGCGGCUGAGCGGUGGGGCGACCGGCUGUAGGUGGAGUCAUCCCGGGACCUGGACGGGAGCCUGGCAGGGUCAACCCCGAAAAGGGGCAAGGCGCUUGGCUAUGUGGCGCCUGGGAGGCCGUGUUGGCCUUCGCGGGUGCAUUGGCGCCGGCAGGCUACUUUGUUCCCGUUUCCAGAGUCGCGGGUCCCCGGGAGUAGAAGACGGGGACAGGUCACAGCCUUCCUCAAAGACACCCAAGAUCCCCAAGAUUUACACCAAAACAGGAGACAAAGGGUUUUCUAGCACCUUCACUGGAGAAAGGAGACCCAAAGAUGACCAAGUGUUUGAAGCCUUGGGAACUACAGAUGAAUUAAGUUCAGCCAUUGGGUUUGCUAUGGAAUUAGCUAUGGAAAAGGGCCACUCAUUUGCUGAAGAGCUUGAGAAAGUCCAGUGCUUGCUGCAGGACGUCGGCUCUGCCCUGGCAACACCGCGCUCCUCGGCCAGGGAGGCUCACUUAAGACACACCGCAUUUGAGGCGAGGCCCAUCCAGGAGCUGGAGCAGUGGAUUGACAAAUACUCCAGCCAGCUACCCCCUCUCACUGCUUUCAUUCUGCCUUCGGGAGGCAAGAGCAGCUCUGCACUGCAUUUCUGUCGGGCCGUGUGUCGCCGAGCUGAGAGACGUGUGGUGCCUCUUAUCCAGAUGGGUGAGACGGAUGCAAACGUGGCCAAGUUCUUAAACAGACUCAGCGACUAUCUCUUUACAUUAGCCAGAUAUGCAGCCUUGAAGGAAGGGAAUCAAGAAAAAAUAUACAAGAAAAAUGACCCGUCGGACCGAACCUGAGGCAUUUGGAAAUAAUGGAAAGGGGGAGCUUUGCAGACCCCUCAGUGGUGACAACAGUGAAAAGAAGAGUUUGCCCUUUGUGUACUGAUUCCUGAAGACUUCACGCAGAGGGGCUGGAAGCUGGCCUCUUGUCCAGACUCAGCUACCUUUCAGACCCCCUGCCACUUCCGUCAAAGAGCUGUGGCUGCUGAAGAAUUCUGCCCCUGCUCCCCCAGGCUCUCCUUGGUCUUAGAGGAAGUACGAAUGAAUUCAGUAUUGCAGAAAGAAAGGAAGGAGCAGGAUGUCUAUAAUAAAACAACAGCCCUGCGCUCCUAGCCACGCUGAAACACUCUACAAAGGACGAGAAGUUCUUUGAGUAAAUAUAGCAUCCUAAAGUGACACUUUUUGAAACAAGGCAAUUUGCCUGUUGCCAAAUGCUGUCCCCACCAGCUCUUGCUGGGAGGGGCUGUCGCAAGCCAGAUGUUAACCCAGGUCCCCAGGCUCCCCUCUGCAUCUGCAUCUGCCUUUCACCAGCAAAGAUUCCCUGAGAGAUGGCCCAGGUACUGGGCAGACUUGGCAUCUCUGGUGUUGUGUCCCGUGCCAUCAACCUGAGAAAAACAGGAAUUCUGCUUCGGGGGCCCAGAAGAUGAGCUGGUUUGAAACGUCUGCUCUUCUGCAUUGCCUUACAAAGCCACAUUGGAGCCUGAGGCAAAAGGCAAACUAUGCACCCCAUACACACUUAGCAAGACAUCUUCCCACGUCUUCGACCGAGUCAGAAAAGUUAAUGAAAGUUCCACAAUCAAAACACAAGACUCAAUAAAGCUCCACAUUGCCCUGUUUGCACAUCACUGUCAAUCUUCAUAAAUGAUUGUCCCCAUUGCACAGUAAUGUGGAAUUGGAAAAGAAACAGCAGAUUCUUAUUUAAAGUUGUGAUACCUUGUUGAUCAUAGAUUUUUUUUGCAUAAUUUUGAUUUUUAAAAACAUUGUGUGAAAGUCCUGUUUAUCUUGAUGACUGAGACUUGCAUACAUUUUGGCAUUCUUGUACAUUCUGCACGCAAGGAAGUACCUUGCCUGCCUCACCUUAGUCCAGGUCGAGCUAUCAGAAACACAUCUGGUACCACUGCCAGAGGCGAGCUGGUGGCUGGACAUCCCAUCGGAGAGAACCUCACCAUAAUACCACCACCAGCCAGCAUCAUGCCUGGCCCCACAGACUUCAUCUUUAAACCUCACAGCAACCCUGAAGGAGGCACUCUCUAUGUGUACUCUCACUUUGCAGGUGAGGAAACUGAGGCUAGAGGAACCAUCUUGUCUCGGGGACUCAGCACCAAGAUGUGAACCCAGGAUGUGGCCUUGUGACUCCUGGCUCAGUGCUCCUCAUCUCCCCCCAGCUGCCACCUGACAGUCAUUUUAAUCACGACUUGGGCCGCCGAGAACAAUGUCAGGCGCUAAUAGAUUCUGCUGUCUCAUUUCUCAACCUAGUUUCCCUUAACUGAUAUUUCAUGGCUAUUGUUAAUGUGCAUUUUUCACCGAGUAAUUUUCACAGCCCGAACCUGUAACACAUCCCAAUGACAAACGUCCCCCGUUCUCUAGCCCCCCGUCAGCUGCAAUGUCACCCUCACCUCCUCCCCAGCACCUUCCUCCGACAGCCCAUGCAGUUUUAUGAUCGCUCUGUCCCAGUUAUCACUACUGAACCUUUAAGAAUCCAGACGCAUUUCAAGUUUAAUUGAAUAAAAUUCUUUGUAUAAUAAA